GCGGGAGGGUGUCCUCCUAAAAUGCAGUCGAACGCUUCUUUUUCCCCGGAGCUUGCUCCACCGGAAAAAGAAGAGUGGCGAACGGGUGAGUAACACGUGGGUAACCUGCCCAUCAGAAGGGGAUAACACUUGGAAACAGGUGCUAAUACCGUAUAACAAUCAAAACCGCAUGGUUUUGAUUUGAAAGGCGCUUUCGGGUGUCGCUGAUGGAUGGACCCGCGGUGCAUUAGCUAGUUGGUGAGGUAACGGCUCACCAAGGCCACGAUGCAUAGCCGACCUGAGAGGGUGAUCGGCCACAUUGGGACUGAGACACGGCCCAAACUCCUACGGGAGGCAGCAGUAGGGAAUCUUCGGCAAUGGACGAAAGUCUGACCGAGCAACGCCGCGUGAGUGAAGAAGGUUUUCGGAUCGUAAAACUCUGUUGUUAGAGAAGAACAAGGAUGAGAGUAACUGUUCAUCCCUUGACGGUAUCUAACCAGAAAGCCACGGCUAACUACGUGCCAGCAGCCGCGGUAAUACGUAGGUGGCAAGCGUUGUCCGGAUUUAUUGGGCGUAAAGCGAGCGCAGGCGGUUUCUUAAGUCUGAUGUGAAAGCCCCCGGCUCAACCGGGGAGGGUCAUUGGAAACUGGGAGACUUGAGUGCAGAAGAGGAGAGUGGAAUUCCAUGUGUAGCGGUGAAAUGCGUAGAUAUAUGGAGGAACACCAGUGGCGAAGGCGGCUCUCUGGUCUGUAACUGACGCUGAAGCUCGAAAGCGUGGGGAGCAAACAGGAUUAGAUACCCUGGUAGUCCACCCCCUAAACGAAGAGUGCUAAGUGUUGGAGGGUUCCCGCCCUCCAGUGCUGCAGCCUACCCUUUACGCACUCCGCCUGGCGAGGACGACCGCAAGAGUGCAACUUAAAAGAAUGGACGGGGGCCCGCACAUUAAUAGAAGGUGGGGGUUUAUUUUAUACCAACGAAAAAAAGCCAAACAGGUCUCCCCUUCCAUUUACCCCCUCUGAACGGAAGAAGUUCCCUUCCGGGGCCUAGUGGAGAAGAGAUGCCGGAGGGAAGAAAGGUUCCAUCCCUCUAUUUGGGUUUUAAUAUAAGAAAAUAUUAAACAACAAAAAACAUAUUUUUCUAUAAAGUCGUUUGUUUUUCUAGAGAAGACUUUCUCUUAAAAGAGAAAAAGAAACACAAGGCGCCGAAGCAGAGGGAGAGGGGUAGAGGGGCCCCUUUCUCCUCUGGCCUCUUGGCGGCCCCGCCCCCACCCCACGCGGAUUGAGAGCGGGGGGGAGGGGGAGGGGGGGGGGGGGGUGGGGAGNAUCCUUCUCCACCAACACANAAAAUAAUACUAUUACAGGAUGGGCGGCGUGGCGUCUCUGCCGCGCUCGCCCUCCCCCCU
rnacentral:rRNA from 1 species